rnacentral:rRNA from 1 species
CCGCAAGGUUAAAACUCAAAGGAAUUGACGGGGACCCGCACAAGCGGUGGAGCAUGUGGUUUAAUUCGAUGCAACGCGAAGAACCUUACCUGGUCUUGACAUCCUGCGAACUUUCUAGAAAUAGAUUGGUGCCUUCGGGAACGCAGUGACAGGUGCUGCAUGGCUGUCGUCAGCUCGUGUCGUGAGAUGUUGGGUUAAGUCCCGUAACGAGCGCAACCCCUAUCCUUAUUUGCCAGCACAUCAUGGUGGGAACUAUAAGGAGACUGCCGGUGAUAAACCGGAGGAAGGCGGGGACGACGUCAAGUCAUCAUGGCCCUUACGACCAGGGCUACACACGUGCUACAAUGGGAAGGACAAAGAGCCGCGAAGCCGCGAGGUGUAGCUAAUCUCAUAAACCUUUUCGUAGUCCGGAUUGGAGUCUGCAACUCGACUCCAUGAAGUCGGAAUCGCUAGUAAUCGUAGAUCAGAAUGCUACGGUGAAUACGUUCCCGGGUCUUGUACACACCGCCCGUCAUACCAUGGGAGUGGGUUGCACCAGAAGUGGCUAGUCUAACUUUAUUGAGGACGGUCACCACGGUGUGAUUCAUGACUGGGGUA